GACGAACGCUGGCGGCGUGCUUAACACAUGCAAGUCGAACGGAAAGGCCCUGCUUUUGUGGGGUGCUCGAGUGGCGAACGGGUGAGUAACACGUGAGUAACCUGCCCUUGACUUUGGGAUAACUUCAGGAAACUGGGGCUAAUACCGGAUAGGAGCUCCUGCUGCAUGGUGGGGGUUGGAAAGUUUCGGCGGUUGGGGAUGGACUCGCGGCUUAUCAGCUUGUUGGUGGGGUAGUGGCUUACCAAGGCUUUGACGGGUAGCCGGCCUGAGAGGGUGACCGGCCACAUUGGGACUGAGAUACGGCCCGGACUCCUACGGGAGGCAGCAGUGGGGAAUAUUGCACAAUGGGCGGAAGCCUGAUGCAGCAACGCCGCGUGCGGGAUGACGGCCUUCGGGUUGUAAACCGCUUUCGCCUGUGACGAAGCGUGAGUGACGGUAAUGGGUAAAGGAGCACCGGCUAACUACGUG
rnacentral:rRNA from 1 species